rnacentral:rRNA from 1 species
GCCUACGGGGGGCUGCAGUGGGGAAUAUUGGACAAUGGGGGGAACCCUGAUCCAGCCAUGCCGCGUGUGUGAAGAAGGCCCUCGGGUUGUAAAGCACUUUCAGUGAGGAAGAACGCCUGGUGGUUAAUACCCAUCAGGAAAGACAUCACUCACAGAAGAAGCACCGGCUAACUCCGUGCCAGCAGCCGCGGUAAUACGGAGGGUGCGAGCGUUAAUCGGAAUUACUGGGCGUAAAGCGCGCGUAGGUGGCUUGAUAAGCCGGUUGUGAAAGCCCCGGGCUCAACCUGGGAACGGCAUCCGGAACUGUCAAGCUAGAGUGCAGGAGAGGAAGGUAGAAUUCCCGGUGUAGCGGUGAAAUGCGUAGAGAUCGGGAGGAAUACCAGUGGCGAAGGCGGCCUUCUGGACUGACACUGACACUGAGGUGCGAAAGCGUGGGUAGCAAACAGGAUUAGAUACCCGAGUAGUCCG